UAGGGAAUCUUCCACAAUGGACGCAAGUCUGAUGGAGCAACGCCGCGUGAGUGAAGAAGGUUUUCGGAUCGUAAAGCUCUGUUGUUGGUGAAGAAGGAUAGAGGCAGUAACUUGUCUUUAUUUGACGGUAAUCAACCAGAAAGUCACGGCUAACUACGUGCCAGCAGCCGCGGUAAUACGUAGGUGGCAAGCGUUGUCCGGAUUUAUUGGGCGUAAAGCGAGCGCAGGCGGAAUGAUAAGUCUGGUGUGAAAGCCCACGGCUCAACCGUGGAACUGCAUUGGAAAUUGACAUCCUUGAGGUCAGAAGAGGAGAGUGGAAUUCCAUGUGUAGAGGUGGAAUGAGUAGAUAUAUGGAAGAACACCAGUGGCGAAGGCAGCUCUCUGGUCUGCAACUGACGCUGAGGCUCGAAAGCAUGGGUAGCGAACAGG
rnacentral:rRNA from 1 species